UACAGAGGCCACGAGCGUUAGGCGGAAUCACUGGGCUUAAAAGCGUGUGUAGGUGGAUCGGUAAGUACCUUGUGAAAUCCCACGACUCAAUCGUGGAACUGCUUGGUAUACUGCCAGUCUUGAGGUACUCAGGGGCAAGCGGAACAAAUGGUGGAGCGGUGAAAUGCGUAGAUAUCAUUUGGAACGCCAAUGGUGAAGACAGCUUGCUGGGGGUAUUCUGACACUGAGACACGAAAGCCAGGGGAGCAAACGGG
rnacentral:rRNA from 1 species